AGUGAACGCUGGCGGCAGGCCUAACACAUGCAAGUCGAACGGCAGCACAGAGGAGCUUGCUCCUUGGGUGGCGAGUGGCGGACGGGUGAGUAAUGCAUCGGAAUCUGCCCUGACGUGGGGGAUAACGUAGGGAAACUUACGCUAAUACCGCAUACGUCCUACGGGAGAAAGCGGGGGACCUUCGGGCCUCGCGCGGCAGGAUGAGCCGAUGUUCGAUUAGCUAGUUGGCGGGGUAAAGGCCCACCAAGGCGACGAUCGAUAGCCGGUCUGAGAGGAUGAUCGGCCACACUGGGACUGAGACACGGCCCAGACUCCUACGGGAGGCAGCAGUGGGGAAUAUUGGACAAUGGGCGCAAGCCUGAUCCAGCCAUGCCGCGUGUGUGAAGAAGGCCUGG
rnacentral:rRNA from 1 species